rnacentral:rRNA from 1 species
UACGUAGGGCGCAAGCGUUUAUCCGGAAUUAUUGGGCGUAAAGAGCUCGUAGGCGGUUUGUCGCGUCUGCCGUGAAAGUCCGGGGCUCAACUCCGGAUCUGCGGUGGAUACGGGCAGGCUAGAGGCUGGUAGGGGCAAGCGGAAUUCCUGGUGUAGCGGUGAAAUGCGCAGAUAUCAGGAGGAACACCGGUGGCGAAGGCGGCUUGCUGGGCCAGUUCUGACGCUGAGGAGCGAAAGCGUGGGGAGCGAACAGG